rnacentral:rRNA from 1 species
UACGAAGGGGGCUAGCGUUGUUCGGAAUUACUGGGCGUAAAGUGUGCGCAGGCGGCCGAGCAAGUCGAGUGUGAAAGCCCCGAGCUUAACUUGGGAACUGCGCUCGAAACUACUUGGCUAGAGUGUGGCAGAGGGAGGUGGAAUUCCACGUGUAGCGGUGAAAUGCGUAGAGAUGUGGAGGAACACCAGUGGCGAAGGCGGCUUUUUGGUCUGUAACUGACGCUGAGGCGCGAAAGCGUGGGGAGCAAACAGG